rnacentral:lncRNA from 1 species
GAAUGUAUUAAAUUAAAAUAAAUGCAGUUCUUUGAAUUUCUAAAAUUCCCAGCUUAGGAGUUAUUUCAUAGGUUAAGUAUUAUCUAUAAUUGCCGCAGUCCGGCUGGCUGCAGCAAAAUAACCGGGGGGUGACGAAUAACUUGUGUACGUUGAUACAGCAGGAGUAGGAGCCAUUUAUUGCAGGACAGGAAGCAGUAUUUAUACAUUCCACAGAGCUUAUCUAAUUAGCAUAAACUAGAUACAUCAGUCAACCAAUAAGGAAUCUCCACACUUAAUGGCUCGCU